CCCCUCUCAGGGUCGCACCUGGAGAGUUUCCAUGACUCUACCAGUCACGACUACAGGAGGGAGAGUCGAGCAGAGGCAUGCCCCCCAUUCCAUUCCUAGCUUGCCCAGUGGCUAGUGAGUGGAAGACAAUCUGCUACAAAU